AACGAACGCUGGCGGCAGGCCUAACACAUGCAAGUCGAGCGAGGACUUCGGUCCUAGCGGCGGACGGGUGAGUAACGCGUGGGAACGUGCCCUUUGCUUCGGAAUAGCCCUGGGAAACUGGGAGUAAUACCGGAUGAGCCCUUUGGGGGAAAGAUUUAUCGGCGAAGGAUCGGCCCGCGUUGGAUUAGGUAGUUGGUGGGGUAAUGGCCUACCAAGCCGACGAUCCAUAGCUGGUUUGAGAGGAUGAUCAGCCACACUGGGACUGAGACACGGCCCAGACUCCUACGGGAGGCAGCAGUGGGGAAUCUUAGACAAUGGGGGAAACCCUGAGCUAGCCAUGCCGCGUGAGCGAUGAAGGCAUUAGGGUUGUAAAGCUCUUUCAGCUGGGAAGAUAAUGACGGUACCAGCAGAAGAAGCCCCGGCUAACUCCGUG
rnacentral:rRNA from 1 species